GUGAACGCUGGCGGUAGGCCUAACCCAUGCAAGUCGAACGGCGGCACAGUAAGAGCUUGCUCUUACGGGUGGCGAGUGGCGGACGGGUGAGGAAUACAUCGGAAUCUACUUUUUCGUGGGGGAUAACGUAGGGAAACUUACGCUAGUACCGCAUACGACCUACGGGUGAAAGCAGGGGAUCUUCGGACCUUGCGCGAUUGAAUGAGCCGAUGUCGGAUUAGCUAGUUGGCGGGGUAAAGGCCCACCAAGGCGACGAUCCGUAGCUGGUCUGAGAGGAUGAUCAGCCACACUGGAACUGAGACACGGUCCAGACUCCUACGGGAGGCAGCAGUGGGGAAUAUUGGACAAUGGGCGCAAGCCUGAUCCAGCCAUACCGCGUGGGUGAAGAAGGCCUUCGGGUUGUAAAGCCCUUUUGUUGGGAAAGAAAAGCAGCAGGUUAAUACCCCGCUGUUCUGACGGUACCCAAAGAAUAAGCACCGGCUAACUUCGUG
rnacentral:rRNA from 1 species